GCCGUUGAUGUAGGGAUGGAGGGAGGACGCGAGUAUUAUUAUUAGUAUUAUUUUUUGUGAGGAGGAGAAGGAAGAAAAUAUAAUUCGUAUUUUUUUUUUUUGAAUGGAUAUCUUUUUUUUUUUUUUUGAACGUAUCUUGUUUCUCUCUCCUUUUUUUUUGCCAAAGUAGUUGAUCUCUAACAACCUCUAAAAAUCCUCUCUUUUUCAUCGUAUCUUUCCCCAUUUUAUAGGUUUUCUAGUUAGUAGAUGGGAGGUUUUUUUUUUUAGUGGGUUAGUGGGUUAAUGGGAGAGAUUUUAGUAGGUUAGUGGGAAGGUAGGAAGGCCUUUUUUUUAUUAUUAUUAUUUUUGACGUGGGGCUGAAUGGGAAGUUAGGAUUUUUUUGUUGUCGGGCCUACACAAGAGAUAUGAUUAUCAUGUGUAUGAG
rnacentral:lncRNA from 1 species